rnacentral:rRNA from 1 species
GAUGAACGCUGGCGGCGUGCCUAAUACAUGCAAGUCGAGCGAAGCGGGGACGGGUGAGUAACACGUGGCUAACCUCCUAUAAGACUGGGAUAACUUCGGGAAACCGGAGCUAAACCGGUUACUUAUUUAUGGAUCCGCGCUGCAUUAGCUAGUUGGUAAGGUAAAGGCUUACCAAGGCAACGAUGAAUAGCCGACCUGAGAGGGUGAGCGGCCACAAUGGAGCUGAGACACGGUCCAGACACCUAAGGGAGGCAGCAGUAGGGAAUCUUCCGCAAUGGGCGAAAGCCUGACGGAGCAACGCCGCGUGAGUGAUGAAGGUCAUCGAAUCGAAAAACUCUGUUAUUAGGGAAGCGGUACCUAAUCAGAAAGCCACGGCUAACUACGUGCCAGCCGCCGCGGUAAUAC